rnacentral:misc_RNA from 1 species
GAAAUGCGAUACGUAGUGCGAAUUGCAGAAUUCAGUGAAUCAUCAAAUUCUUGAACGCAAAUUGCGCUUCCGGGAUAGGCCUGGGAGCACGCUUCUUUGAGUAUCGGUUCACCUCUCCUCGACUGCGUUUUCGUAGUCGGAUACUGAGCGUCACAGCCUCGUGUGCUUGGGCAACCAAGUGCGCUGUGUCGCUUCAAGCAUAGAGCUUUAACCAAGCCAUCACACAAACCCCCGUCGCUAGGACGGACACUGGGUACACACCCCAUAUUGUCCGUCAUUCAACUGGCAACGAGGGUUGAGCGGCUUGCGUAAAAGCAUCCGUUUUGUCUCGAGCGGUUCAGAGCCAUUCGAGAUGAACAACAUACCAACGAAAUAGAUCUCAGAUGAAGCGAGAAAACCC